rnacentral:rRNA from 1 species
AGAGUUUGAUCAUGGCUCAGGACGAACGCUGGCGGCGUGCUUAACACAUGCAAGUCGAGCGGAAAGGCCACUUCGGUGGUACUCGAGCGGCGAACGGGUGAGUAACACGUGAGUAAUCUGCCCCUGGCUUUGGGAUAGCCACCGGAAACGGUGAUUAAUACCGGAUACGACCACUUCUCGCAUGGGAUGGUGGUGGAAAGUUUUUCGGCCAGGGAUGUGCUCGCGGCCUAUCAGCUUGAUGGUGAGGUAAUGGCUCACCAUGGCUUCGACGGGUAGCCGGCCUGAGAGGGUGACCGGUCACACUGGGACUGAGACACGGCCCAGACUCCUACGGGAGGCAGCAGUGGGGAAUAUUGGACAAUGGGCGGAAGCCUGAUCCAGCAACGCCGCGUGAGGGAUGACGGCCUUCGGGUUGUAAACCUCUUUCAGUACCGACGAAGCGCAAGUGACGGUAGGUACAGAAGAAGCACCGGCCAACUACGUGCCAGCAGCCGCGGUAAUACGUAGGGUGCGAGCGUUGUCCGGAAUUAUUGGGCGUAAAGGGCUCGUAGGCGGUUUGUCGCGUCGGGAGUGAAAACCAGGUGCUUAACACCUGGGCUUGCUUUCGAUACGGGCAGACUAGAGGUAUGCAGGGGAGAACGGAAUUCCUGGUGUAGCGGUGAAAUGCGCAGAUAUCAGGAGGAACACCGGUGGCGAAGGCGGUUCUCUGGGCAUGACCUGGCGCUGAGGAGCGAAAGUGUGGGGAGCGAACAGGAUUAGAUACCCUGGUAGUCCACACC